CAGUCGCCACGGGAAUACAGAGGGUGCGAGCGUUAAUCGGAUUUACUGGGCGUAAAGCGUGCGUAGGCGGCUUUUUAAGUCGGAUGUGAAAUCCCUGAGCUUAACUUAGGAAUUGCAUUCGAUACUGGGAAGCUAGAGUAUGGGAGAGGAUGGUAGAAUUCCAGGUGUAGCGGUGAAAUGCGUAGAGAUCUGGAGGAAUACCGAUGGCGAAGGCAGCCAUCUGGCCUAAUACUGACGCUGAGGUACGAAGGCAUGGGGAGCAAACAGGAUUAGAUACCCCAGUAGUCCCUGUCUCUUAUAC
rnacentral:rRNA from 1 species